GAUGAAGAACGUAGCGAAAUGCGAUAAGUAAUGUGAAUUGCAGAAUUCAGUGAAUCAUCGAAUCUUUGAACGCACAUUGCGCCCGCCAGUAUUCUGGCGGGCAUGCCUGUCCGAGCGUCAUUUCAACCAUCAAGCCCCGGGCUUGUGUUGGGGACCUGCGUCCGACGCAGGCCCUGAAAACCAGUGGCGGGCUCGCUGUCCACACCGAGCGUAGUAACUAACCUCGCUAUGGAGUGGCGCGGGCGACUGCCGUAAAACCCCCAAUUUCCCAAGGUUGACCUCGGAUCAGGUAGGAAUACCCGCUGAACUUAAGCAUAUCAAUAAGCGGAGGA
rnacentral:misc_RNA from 1 species